GCGAGGGUAGCCAAGCCAGGUCAAAGGCGCUGCAUUUAGGGUGCAGUCCCGCAGGGGUUCGUGGGUUCAAGUCCCUCUCCUCGCA
rnacentral:tRNA from 1 species